rnacentral:rRNA from 1 species
GGGGAAUCUUCCGCAAUGGGCGCAAGCCCGACGGAGCAACGCCGCGUGAGGGAGGAAGGCCUGUGGGUCGUAAACCUCUUUUCUCAAGGAAGAAGUUCUGACGGUACUUGAGGAAUCAGCAUCGGCUAACUCCGUGCCAGCAGCCGCGGUAAGACGGAGGAUGCAAGCGUUAUCCGGAAUUAUUGGGCGUAAAGCGUCCGUAGGUGGUUUUACAAGUCAGUUGUUAAAGCCCACAGCUCAACUGUGGAUCGGCAAUUGAAACUGUAAGACUUGAGUGUGGUAGGGGUAGAGGGAAUUCCUAGUGUAGCGGUGAAAUGCGUAGAUAUUAGGAAGAACACCAGUGGCGAAGGCGCUCUACUGGGCCAUAACUGACACUCAGGGACGAAAGCCAAGGUAGCGAAUGGGAUUAGAUACCCCUGUAGUC